rnacentral:rRNA from 1 species
CGGCAGGCCUAACACAUGCAAGUCGAACGGUAACAUUUCUAGCUUGCUAGAAGAUGACGAGUGGCGGACGGGUGAGUAAUGCUUGGGAACUUGCCUUUGCGAGGGGGAUAACAGUUGGAAACGACUGCUAAUACCGCAUAAUGUCUUCGGACCAAACGGGGCUUCGGCUCCGGCGCAAAGAGAGGCCCAAGUGAGAUUAGCUAGUUGGUAAGGUAACGGCUUACCAAGGCGACGAUCUCUAGCUGUUCUGAGAGGAAGAUCAGCCACACUGGGACUGAGACACGGCCCAGACUCCUACGGGAGGCAGCAGUGGGGAAUAUUGCACAAUGGGGGAAACCCUGAUGCAGCCAUGCCGCGUGUGUGAAGAAGGCCUUCGGGUUGUAAAGCACUUUCAGUUGUGAGGAAAAGUUAGUAGUUAAUACCUGCUAGCCGUGACGUUAACAACAGAAGAAGCACCGGCUAACUCCGUGCCAGCAGCCGCGGUAAUACGGAGGGUGCGAGCGUUAAUCGGAAUUACUGGGCGUAAAGCGCACGCAGGCGGUUUGUUAAGCUAGAUGUGAAAGCCCCGGGCUCAACCUGGGAUGGUCAUUUAGAACUGGCAGACUAGAGUCUUGGAGAGGGGAGUGGAAUUCCAGGUGUAGCGGUGAAAUGCGUAGAUAUCUGGAGGAACAUCAGUGGCGAAGGCGACUCCCUGGCCAAAGACUGACGCUCAUGUGCGAAAGUGUGGGUAGCGAACAGGAUUAGAUACCCUGGUAGUCCACACCGUAAACGCUGUCUACUAGCUGUGUGUGUCUUUAAGACGUGCGUAGCGAAGCUAACGCGCUAAGUAGACCGCCUGGGGAGUACGGCCGCAAGGUUAAAACUCAAAUGAAUUGACGGGGGCCCGCACAAGCGGUGGAGCAUGUGGUUUAAUUCGAUGCAACGCGAAGAACCUUACCUACACUUGACAUGCAGAAGACUUUCUAGAGAUAGAUUGGUGCCUUCGGGAACUCUGACACAAGUGCUGCAUGGCUGUCGCCAGCUCGUGUCGUGAAAUGUUGGGU